ensembl:lncRNA
UGAUAGAUAGGUUUGAUACAGUGUGAUAGAUACAGUAUGAUAGAUACAGUGUGAUAGAUACAGUGUGAUAGAUAGGUUCGAUACAGUAUGAUAGAUGUGAUAGAUAGGAUAGAUACAGUAUGAUAGAUACAGUAUGAGAGAUAGGUUAGAUACAGUAUGAUAGAUAGGUUAGAUACAGUAUGAUACAUAGGUUCGAUACAGUGUGAUAGAUAGGUUCGAUGACAGUGUGAUAGAUAGGAUAGAUACAGUAUGAUAGAUGUGAUAGAUAGGAUAGAUACAGUAUGAUAGAUACAGUAUGAGAGAUAGGUUAGAUACAGUAUGAUAGAUAGGUUCGAUACAGUGUGAUAGAUAGGUUCGAUACAGUGUGAUAGAUAGGAUAGAUACAGUAUGAUAGAUACAGUAUGAUAGAUAGGAUAGAUACAGUAUGAUACAUACAGUAUGAUAGAUAGGAUAGAUACAGUAUGAUAGAUACAGUAUGAU